rnacentral:rRNA from 1 species
GAAUUUUAUAUAUUUAGAUUAAUAAUUAAUUAAAUUUUUUUUGUUAAUUAAGUAUAUUUAGUUGGGAGAAUUAUUAGAUUAUAAUAAUUUUAAUUUUUUAAAAAUAUUGAUUUAUAAAUAAAAGAAUGAUAUUUUUAUGGUUAAAAAAUUAAUUACCUUAGGGAUAACAGCGUAAUAUUUUUGGAGAGUUCUUAUUGAUAAAAAUGAUUGCGACC